rnacentral:lncRNA from 1 species
GGAGCCGUCUGCUGGGGGCCGGAAGGACACACGUGGUCUUCCACGGCCUGCAGUACAGCACUCUGUCACUGCUGUCACAGGCAAUGCAAGUCUUACCUGAAGCUGAGAUAAUGGCCACGAAGGCUGCAGCUUCCAGUCCUGAGGGCAGCCCCUGGGAAGUGGAAUGGAGCAUUUCCCCAGGCCCUGCCUUGAUUUUCAUGCAAGAAAGGCCAGCAUUUCCGUUUCCCCAGAUGCCAGCAGGCCAGGAGCUCCUCUGUACCCCUCCCUCUUCCUCCAGGUCUUGUCUCUUCUCAGAUGGGAACAGAUGCUGAAACACGCACACACACAUGCAUGCACAUGCACACACUCCCUCCAUGUCCUCCCCCAGAUCUUAUCUGCUCUGACCCUCUGGCCACCGCACAUGGAGAGAAGGUGUUCCACCUUUGGGCGUGGAGGGCAGGCACGAAGAAGACGUUUUCCUCUUCCCUCCUUACCAAGAGCAGUCUCUCAGCAACCCCGACAUAAUCCAAGUGCUUUGAGGGGAAAAGCAGCUCCUAUAGCUUUCUGGUCCCUCAUGGUGCCUUGGACAAGACGCGGCUACAUAAACAGCAUGUGAGAACUGGAAGGAACCUUAGAGGCUUGUGAUGGCAGGACCAUCGGGAGUUUACAGAGGAGGGACUGGGGCCCAGAGAGGAGUCUUCUCCAGCCGUCCGGCUGGUCUCCGGUGGAGCCUGGUCCAGGGCCCCGUCUCCAGUGGAGGUGUCGGGUAGCCAAAGCCCUAGGGAAGGGCUGCCUUUCCAGGAACACGUGUAAGCCCCCGGGAGCUUGUUACUUGACAAGAGCCUGGAGAAGCCAGUGACAGCUCCGAGGCCCACCUCUGCUCACCACAAGAUGGCAACAGAGCUUUGCAGGAGCCCCAGCUUGGGGGCUGGUGUCCAGCGCUCUCUGAGGACUGGACCUCACAUCCCUAACCCUGGUGGUCUGAGCACUCCUUCCAUAUCUUCAGGCCAGGCUGAGGGUUCCUUUGCUGUAGGCCUGCACAUGUCUCUCCUUGCUGUUUUAGUGCCUUCAACUCCAUGCUGACUUGCACCUGUUGACUGGUUCUGUCCCUUUUGGCUCUUCUGGUGAGGCAGGAGGACACAGUUCUACUCACAGGACUCUAACAAGGAGAAGAGUUUAAAGUGGCUUUUCCACCUGGAAGCAAUACUGCUUGAAUCGCGCACCCUUUCUCCAGCACUCACCAGGCCCCUUUCUCCCCUGCGCUCUUCAGCAUCCUUCCCAUGGAGCCAUGCCUGGCUGCGGUGGUCCCACUGGAGUGGCAGCUCUGGGAGGAGGGGAUGCUUGUGAGAUGGCCAACCAGGGUGUCCACUGAGGAAUUUGUUCCCAUGCUGAUCAAACAGUAGUUAUCACUCCAAAUUGGUCCUGAAGGCUGGGGUGCCAAGGGAGGCAAGAGCAAAACAGAACAAGAUGCUGUGCCUUUCAGCUCUGCCCUGGACAAAGUCCGGGUCCUGGCAGGAGGUUGGCUCACUUAUAUAAAAAUGAACAUCUACCCAUCAGAAGCAUGGUUCAAGACCCUCUGCAUGCAGCCUGAAAGAUAGACUUCGGGGACGGCUCUGUGGUCAAGGGCAAACAUCAAAUGUAUUUUUUAUUGACUGUUUAAGGACAAAAACAAUAAAAAAUACACGUGUGCUAGAUGAGCUUCGUUCAGGUGUGAGUUACAGAGCUGUCGGCUGUGAGUUCAAUGUCAACGGAUCGGUGAUCUACACUAAAGCAGAGCGCCAGCACCGAAGAUACUCCUUGGUAAAAGUCACAGAAGUCCCUCUCACCUACUGCUCCACGGUGGCCCUUGUCACAGAAGUAGGCCAGGAGAGCGGCCCACACUGUCCAAUCCUGUGGAGAUGUUGAGGAGGAAACCACCUGGAAAUGGGCCUGCUUUGCUAAGGGUCCAAUCCAGGAUCCCACAUUUAGCAAGUUUGUUUUUAGAAAAUAAACUGUGGCUGUGGUAGGCAGAGUGGACUGGAGAGGCCUGGGUCUGGAGGCCAGAGAACCUGAGAGCAAGCUGGGCAGGAGCCUGGUGGGAGAUAUCGGGGGCAGGAAUUCCAGCUGUUGCAGAAGAGGAGAGAGGAGGGGUAAUAUGGCCCCGAAGAUUAAGGGACUCUAGGGUUGACAAGUGAAGUCAAAACGUUAUCACGUGUUGCUUGCUUCUACAUUUUAUGCAGUCCUCUAGGCGGCAGAUAAUUAUUGAGCACCUACCAGGUGGCAGGCACCAAUGUUCUCCGGACACAUGGCUAUGGGUUCCACCUGCCACCCUCACACGUCUCCAACUCUAGCCUGGUUUUCCCAUUUCACAGCCAACUUCCGCUGCCUGUGAGUAUGCUAAAACCAAACUCCGCUCCUUAAAAGAAGUCCAACACUGAAAGAAUUUUCACAGCCUGUCCUUCCUGCUGCCAAGAAUAUAUAUUACCAAUUUCCAGUGGAAGCUCAAAUGUCCCUUUGUAAUAACCUAGCCUCUGAGCGCUAAGUUUGAGGGGUCACCACAAGUUGGGAGUCACCUAGGGACUGACUGCCAUGCUGCCCAGCGAGAGGUCGAGGGGGAGGCCGGUGUGAGGUGGUAAUGGAGUUUGAGACCCAGGGGG